AGGUAGUAGGUUGUAUAGU
rnacentral:ncRNA from 10 species